rnacentral:sRNA from 1 species
GCAGCAGCAGCAGCAACAGCAGCAGCAGCAGCAACAGCAUCCUGGAAAGCAAGCGAAAGAGCAGCAACAGCAAUUGGCAGCCCAGCAGCUUGUCUUCCAGCAGCAGCUUCUCCAGAUGCAACAACUCCAGCAGCAGCAGCAUCUGCUCAGCCUUCAGCGUCAGGGACUCAUCUCCAUUCCACCUGGCCAGGCAGCACUUCCUGUCCAAUCGCUGCCUCAAGGCACCUUAACAAUGAACACGCAUUGGAUGACCGAAGCACUGCUCAGUGUCGAGUGCAAAUGCAGGUGGUGCAACAGUUAGAAAUACAG